GCGUCGGUGGUGCAGCGACUAGCAUGCGCUCCUGGACAGAGUGAGACCUGGGUUCGUAUCCCGGCUGGAGCU